AUCGCUUCUUGGCUUUUUGGCUAAGAUCAAGUGUAGUAUCUGUUCUUAUCAGUUUAAUAUGUCAGGACCAAAUAAGAUUUAUCCAAGGAAUGUAAAAUUGGUUUAAGAUAUGAAAAUCCCAU
rfam:Ictidomys tridecemlineatus contig055337, whole genome shotgun sequence.